rnacentral:lncRNA from 1 species
ACCUUAUCAUCUCUGUGGAUGUCUCUGGAAAGGAGGCUGCCAGGGUUUCUGCCACACUUCUUGGUAUCUUUGGGGGGAAAUGGUAAAUUAAAUUCAAUGAGGGAUUUGAAUAGCUCAGGAGACAAUUUCUGAUCAGACCACCACCUUUGCUCUUUCAAGAUAGAGAGAGAUCAACUGCCUCCCACCUGGAAUCUCUCUUCCCUCAAGAUUCCAAGCCUCCUCAACCAUUGCCCACUGUGGAUGGAAACCUUUGCAUAUCUUCCAGGCUCUGUCCUUCACAGUCUCUGGAUUAUUCCUCUAUCACAAUGAGGAAACUGAGGCCCAGAAAGAUUGUGACUGUACUAAAUCCAUACAGGGACUUGAACUUGGUUCCUUUGACUUCAAGGCAAGUGUCCUCUUUUCUGUGGGUCAGUAUAUCUAUCAUCAUCACCACCUCAUCAUCAAGAUAAAAUUUACAUGCUACAUUGAGGUUUAUAGAAUCCUUCUCAUAUAACAAAACAUGAUCAUCAUCACAUUCCCUGCAGCCUUCCCUUUGCCCCUCUCAGAGAACCAUCCCAUGAACAAGACACAGCUUUUGGAGAGAGGAAUAAGUCAGUAGAACUGAUUGAUAUAUUUUUUUAAAAGUCUGAAAAUGGGUACAAUGUAUAACAUCUGUCAACCUCCUACCUCCAAGUAGGGGGAUGAUGUGGUUAUCUUCAGAUCUCUUUAUUUGAG